rnacentral:tRNA from 1 species
AGCUCAGUGGUAGAGCACAUGCUUAGCAUGCACGAGGUCCUGGGUUCAACCCCCAG